GCCAGCCUGGGGCUAGGCUCCAGUAGAUUUUUGCUACUUUUUGCUGUUCUUUGGAGCUCUCCUUUAGUUAUGUUGAUCAAAAUGUAAGUUUUUAUUUGUUAUUUUGUUUUUUUUGUGGGAGGAAAAGGUACUAGAAGCUUCUAGUCAACCACUUUGCUGAUGCCCUCUAAUUUUGCCUGUGAAGGAUCAUUUGAAACUAUCACAGUGGUUUUAAGGAUAAAGUAAUUACUUAAGAAGCACUUACUCCAUACCUACAGCAGACUUGAAUCUUGGUCAAACACUGUUAUUAUUGUAAUGUAACUAAAUAGUGCUUUGGUGAUUUAUUCAGGUGAGCUUUUUUCUCAGGUGGUGAAAACUAGAAGGACAUUUUCAGUAUUUUAAAACUCCAUUUAUUUUAGUUCACUUUAAUUUUCAUUUCACUUUAUUAGUUUAGUUCACUUUAAUUCUGCCUCCACAUCUGUAGAUUCCACAUUUGCAGAUUUGACCAAGCAUGAGUCAAAAAUAUUUUUAAAAAGAAUAAAAAAUAACACUAAUAAAAGAAUAUAGUAUAACAGCCAUUUACAUAGCAUUUACAAUAAUUAGCUAUGAUAAGUAAUCUAGAUAUGAUUUAAAGUAUACAGGAAGUUGUUCAUAGGUUAUAUGCAAAUACUAUGCCAUUUUGUAGAAGGCACUUCGGCAUCUGCAAAUUUUGGUAUCCACAGGGUGUCCUGGAAUGAAUAUUUUGUGGAUACUGAGGGACAACUGUACAUAUGUCUUCACAGACUAAAAGAUAAGGCAGAAAUAGAUCCAAGCUAAUAAAUCUGUUAGUUAUACAUAUAAUUCUUUGAGAAGAAAAAAGGGAGUAAUUCAUUCUUUGAGAAUUCAGAAGGUAGAGUAGAGGUAAAGAAGUGUUAGAAAAAGCUGCAGAAAAGAGGCAAAAUUUGAUCUGGAUUUUAAGAGAAGAGCUAGAGAGGACAGGGCAACCUGCAGGGCAGAAGGCGGGCAUAAUGGUGGCGUGCAUGAGUAGGAGGGUUUUCUUGGUAGAAAACAGUAUUCUCCGAUCACUGUUAACAGGCCCAGUGACAGGGUAGCUUCAUCCUCUUGCUAAUUAAAAGUGCAUCUCGUGCUCACGUUCCAGACUCAUCAACAGGAAGAAAACAAGAGGCUUAGGUGAGGGCCUAAGUGUCCAUGGAAUUCAUAAGAGGAGGGCAGCUAAUAUUUUACCUUUCAUUUGGUCCAAGUUGUCAGACUGAAGUACCUGGAAGAUUAGACAUGUUAGGGAUAUUUAGGCAAACAAGAGCCUAGGGCUUCAGCAAUCAUCAAAUUCUCUUCUGUGGACUUGGGGAGUGACAGCAGGUACCCAGGUUAAUAAAGACCACAAAAAGAAUGCUGGAGGUAUUAUUAAGCUUCCCCAGAAGGCGGUUUGAAACAGUCAAAUGCAUUUCAGAGCUUCUAGAACAGAAUAAAAAUAAAGAGUGCUGUAAUUUAAAUGUUAAUAUCUCAUCAAGUUUUAUGUAUGUGAGGAAAAAGAGAGGGCAGCUCCAUAGUCUCUUUUCCGGAAGCUGAUAAGUAGCAGUAAACAGCUGGCUGCCCUCAAUUCAAACAUUUUAUGCUGCCUUUGUGAUCCAUCUUCUCUACCAUGUGGUAACAUCAAAUUAGAAGAGGCAGGCUUGAGAGCUUUUUAUUCUGAGGCCAGAUCACAGCAUGUGAAGAAACAUAGUUCUGUAAAAGAAUAGUGCUUCUCCAGCACCCAGGGCUGCUCAUCUAGUGAGACAGGAUGAGGUUAUCUUGGUGUUUCCUGGCAACACGUGAUGCAGUGAAGCUGUUACUCAGGAUAGAACCACCCCAUCAGUGUGUAUUAAUUAAAUGCUCAGGUAACUAUGGAGGCAUGUCAACAUGCUUCUCAAAGAGCAUUUUAAGAGCAACAAUUAUGGUAGAGCAAUUAGAAUGCUAUUGUGUGGGCAGCAAGAAAGCACUAAAGCCCACAUUAAAAUUUGAUCACAUCAUAUUAGAACCACAUGUAGGAUGUCAAUGAAUGUUUUGAAGAGUGUAUUGGGGGUGGGGGAUUACUACUGUUAAUCACGCUGCAUGUGUGAACAAUAUGUGUGAACUAGCAUUACUAGUGAUAUCACUGGGAUUACUAUUACUUCUUUGUAAGGGAUUAGUUUCUGCCAAGAACAGUUCUAGGCAUUUUACUUCAUUGAACCUUCACAGGACUGAGAUGUAAACUAUAUUGCCAAUACUAUUAUUUGCCACAUUUUUCAGAUGAGGGAACUCAGAUAUUAAGAUGUUAAGAAUAUCCAAGGUCAUGCAGCUAAUUAAUGGUGGAGUUAGAAUUUGAACCUAGGCCAUCUGGCCUAAGAGUCUAAACUGUGACUACUAAGCCCUGUGUUUUCUUUCCCAGGCAGGAGAGGAAGAGGCCAUUUAUCAUGUGUAUAAGGAGAGAAAUGUCUAUUCUUUUACCUCCUCUAAAUAUUCCCCAAAACGUAUCUGCUACCUAAUUUCUGAUGUUAAUGCUGCUUUAAUAAAAGACAAAAUAUCUUAUUUCAUAAGCAAAACUAAACCUCAGGGAAUAUUUGCAUAGUGACUAAAUAUAGACUAACAUGUAAACAACCAAUGGAGAAUUGGAUAUCUGAGAGGAUUUUCUUGGACACUAAACACCAGUAUUGAGAAAGUAGCAGGUAACAGGGCUGGAAUUAGCAAAGACACACUUAUUGCUUAAUUUUCAAUAUUGUCUGGGUCAGUGACGCAUGCUCUUAAAAUAUUCUGCUCUAUUUUUGCAUUGUUUAUAUUAUGCUACAAGGCUUCCUGUAUGCAUGUACAGCAAUGCUUUGUAGGCAUAAAGUGCAACACCUUUUCCCACCAGUGGAUUAUUAGGGUAAGCAAUAUGAAUGUUUUGACUCUUAUGGAGAAGUGUCAAAUGAUGCAGCCCAAAUCACCUUUUCAUGUAUAAUCAUCUCUGUUUCUGAGCUCCUAUUACAUGUAUGUUUUAUAUAAAUCAUACUGGCACUUAAUCAUUUAUUAUUUUGAAUUAUAAUAUUAUUAUUUUAUGUUUACAUGUCUUCUUCUCCAAGUCUAAGAGGCUAGAGUGUGUAUUACAGUUUUUCAUAUUCUUUUCUCUGUUUAGAGAAGCUUUUUAUUCAAUGCAAUGAUUCAAUGAAUAUUUGUUAAGAUAAUAUUACAAAAUUUCUUAUUCAAUCUAUUGAGGAUUUUUACUUUAUUUGUCACAUUUUCAUAUGUUGAACUCUUACUGAAUUCUCAAAGUCAUGUUUUCUGGAAAAGCUUGUAGAACAAGGGUAUGAUUUGGUUUUGCCAAUGUUUAAAAGAAAGCACCACUAAAUCUGCCCAUUUUAGGUAUUUUGAAGGCAGAGGGAACAGAUUUUAUAGAAUAUUUUCAUUUUUCUACUAAAUGAUUAAUCUACUGAGAUUGUCUACUUCUUCAGUCAAUAUUGAUGCUUUAUAUUGUUUUAUUAAGACUUUUUAGUUUAUAAAACUAUGUUUGAAAUUGAGAGAGACAUACUGAUAUUUUGGUUGACUUUCUAUAUAUUAUUAUGUUUAUUAUUUUUAAUUUUAUGUUUGUG
rnacentral:lncRNA from 10 species